UUUGCAAGAGCUGCUAAGAGCGCUGGGUCCUGCUUGUGCUCAGCUCCAGCUCACUGGCUGGCCACCGAGACUUCUGGACAGGAAACUGCACCAUCCUCUUCUCCCAGCAAGGGGGCUCCAGAGACUGCCCACCCAGGAAGUCUGGUGGCCUGGGGAUUUGGUGGGUCUGCUCCUUAGCAGUGGCCUGGGGCUCUGUGACAGUGCCUUGGUAAUGACCAGGGCUCCAGGAAGAGAUGUCCUUGUGGCUGGGGGCCCCUGUGCCUGACAUUCCUCCUGAGAGCAGUCCAGAGUCAUUCUUAGUCGUGCUUGCCUCCCGCCCAGAUCACCUCUCCCCUGGUUCCAGUGCCUGGCCCUUGCAGGCACCCGCCCAGUCCUCCCCAGUCUGGAUUUGCUGCUAGAGAGUUGGCCAGCUGAGUGCUUACCCUGCUCUGGCUUUGAAGAGUUUUAUCUGAUCUCUGAAAUGCAUACACUCCAGCCCCCCAAAGGGACAAGGAUUAACAUCUUCAUUUAAGGUCCUGAGAUACUCUGCGGUGGAGCUGUGGAAGCCAGGCGCAC
rnacentral:lncRNA from 1 species